AUUUCGAAGGAGCUUUGAUAAGCCAGCGUCGCCACUUGACUUCGAUGAUCUCAAUUAGCAGACAACGAACGAUAGCUGCUCGAGAGUCGAGUGGCUCCAACAAUUAUGGCCAGUGUGUCAUGGCCAACAACUCGCAGCGGGGCGCCUCCCAAUGGAAAACAAAAUGAGGAAACUUUACCAAAGGAUUUUCGGCAAUUGUUGCCCGAAAGCUUUCGGAAGAAAGUCAAAACAACUGAGAGAGGAACAAAUGUCUGAUCAAACUCCUCAUACCCGCUGCCAAGUGUAACCACAAAGCAAAAGGCAAAAGCCCAGCCAAAAAGCGUUGAAAAAUGAAAACAAACAGUGAAUUAAAACAAAAACAAUGAGAAGAGGUGGAGAAGUGGAGAAGGGAGUGGAAACCAGAGAACGAGAGCAACCAAAUGCCAAACAAACGGGACACGACAAUCCGCAGUCCGCAGUCCACGCUCCAGCACUCUCCCACCCCUCUCUUUCAUUCGUUCGUGCAUUUGCACUGUCUCUGUCCCACAUGCGAGGCUGCAACAAAGCCAAGAUAUGCAAAGGCUGCUGGAGGUGCGACCAGGUGGAGGAACCCCAAACUACCUGCAAGCAGACUGACAAUUGCCAGAGACUGCCGUGACUGAAACUGGGAGAAAAUUGAAAAUAAACAUCUC